rnacentral:rRNA from 1 species
AUUGAACGCUGGCGGCAGGCCUAACACAUGCAAGUCGAACGAGUGGCGGACGGGUGAGUAAUGUCUGGGAAACUGCCUGAUGGAGGGGGAUAACUACUGGAAACGGUAGCUAAUACCGCAUACCAUCAGAUGUGCCCAGAUGGGAUUAGCUAGUAGGUGGGGUAACGGCUCACCUAGGCGACGAUCCCUAGCUGGUCGGGGAGGAGGACAAGGCACACUGGAACUGAGACACGGUCCAGCCUCCUACGGGAGGCAGCAGUGGAGAAUAUUGCACAAUGGGCGCAAGCUUAAUGUAGCCAUGCCGCGUGUCUGAAGGAGGCCUUCCGGUUGUAGAGUAAUUUCAGCGGGGAGACGUUACCCGCAGAAGAAGCACCGGCUAACUCCGUGCCAGCAGCCGCGGUAAUUC